rnacentral:lncRNA from 1 species
AUGUCCCUUAUCAUGGAUACUUUCUAUUCUAACAAGAAAGUGUUCCUUUCUAUUCUAACAAGAAAGUGUUCUAAUACUUCUGAUGUCUUGGAAAAGAGUUACUAUGACAGUCCUGUCCAAGUUGAGCAGGGGUAAAAAGCUGAAAAUUGACAUCAUCCUCAACUCUCAGGAAUGCACCCUGACUUUAAUGGAGACAGGAAUUGGCAUAAGCAAGCUUGAAAAAAAAUAGAUAAUGUAGAAACCAUUGCUCAGUCUGGCACAGAAACUUUCAUGGAGGCCCUCCAGGCUGGUGCAGACAUCUCUAGGAUUCAGCAGUUUGGUGUUAUUGUGGCAAAGAAAGUUGUGAUGGCAAAGUACAAUAAUGAUGAACACUAUACAGGCACAUCAUGGUCAGCCUAUUGAGCAGGGUAUUAAACUGAUACUUCACCCCAAAAGAAGACCAGAAAUAAUACUUAGAGGAUAGGAGGCUCAAUGUAGUGGUUAAGAAGCACUCAAAAUUCAUGGGCUAUUCUAUUUUGGGGGGGGUGAGAAAGGAGAGAUUCAGAUCAGUGAAAAUGAAUCAAAGGAAGAAAAGGAAGAGGACAGUAAGAAUGAUAAGGAGAAUCCUAAGUUUGAAGAUGCAAUAUCAGUUUAGGAGAAUGAUACUGGCAAAAAUAAGAAAAAGAGAAAACAAGAAAAUUAAGAAGAAAUGCAUUGUUAGGAAAGAAUGAGCCAGACCAAGUCCAUUUGUACCAAAAACCCUGAUUGUGAAUUCUAUAAGAGCCUCACCAGUGAUUGAGAAGACCACUUGGCAGUCAAACAUUUCUCUGUAGAACGUCAAUUGAAAUUCAUGGCAUAGUUCAUCAUCUUUUGGCAAGUUACUGUUGUCCUCUUUGAGAUCAAAAAGAACAUCAAGCUCUGUGCUCAUCAUAUGUUCAUCAUGGACAGCUGUGGUGAAUUAAUAACAGGUUCUCUCAACUUCAUCUGUUAUGUGGUUGGUUCCAAGAAUGAACAUCCCCUAAGAAAUGUUCCAGCAGAGCAAAACCUGGAAAGUCAUCCACAAAAACAUUGUAAAGAAGGGACUUGAGAUCAUCUCUAAGCUGACAGAAGACAAAGAGAACUGUGAGUAAUUCUGUGAGGUGUUCUCUAAGAACAUUGAGCUUGGAAUCAAAGAAGAUUCCAUUAAAUAGCAGUGAUACCUUUCUGAGCUCCUGGGCUACCACACCUCUCACUCUAGAAGGAGAGAUGACUUUCAUGUCAAAGUAUUUAUCUCCUAUGAAGGCGACACAGAAAUCCAUUUACUCUAUCACUAGUGCAAGCAAUAACUGGGUAGCCAACUCUGCCUUCAUGGAGUGUAUGAAGAAGUGGGCUUUAAGAUGGUAUUCAUACCUAAGCCUAUUUUCAAGUGCCACAUGCAUCAGGUCAAGGGGUUGUAUAGGGGAAAGCUGUGUAUCUGUGGAUGGCAAAGGGCUAGAAAAGAUGAGAAAAAGAACAUGGAGGAGAACAAGAGAAAUUUUGACAAUCUCUGAAAGCUCAUGAAGAUCUUGGAUAAGAACGUUGAGAAGAUGACAAUCUCCAAUAAGCUUGUCUCUUCAUUGUGCUGCAUUGUCAAAGGCACUAUGGAUGGACAGCCAUCAUGGAGCAUAUAAUGAAGGCUCAAGCACUUCAAGACAACUCUUCAAUGAGCUACAUGAUAGCCAGACAGCACAUAGAGAUCCACCCAGACUACCUCAUUAUAGAGAGGCUGCAGCAGAUGGCUGAGGCAGACAAAAUGGCAAGGCUGUCAGAACCUGGUAGUGCUACUAUUUCAAACCACUUUGCUCUCCCCUGGCUUCUCCCUUGAGAAUCCUCAGGUGCACUUUAUCUACAUCUACUGCAUGAUCAUACUAGGCUUCAGCACUAAUGAAAAAUGAAGUGAUAGUAGAGGAGCCCCGCUGAUCCCACCACUUUUUCAUGAUACAGACACUAUCAUUUCACAUGGAAGUAA